rnacentral:lncRNA from 1 species
AGGCCGGGCGGCAGCAGCUGGCCUGGCAGGAGGAGGCAGGGGCACAGCAGGAGGAGACAGGCAUACAGCAGGCGGGCCGGCAUACAGGGCGGCAGAGGAGGGACACGGAGGAGGAGGGUCUGCAGCAGGAGGAGGUGCAGCAAGCCGGCUGGCAGCUAGACUGCUGGCAGCAUGAAGAGGAUGACUCAGAGCAGGUGGGCACGCAGC